rnacentral:lncRNA from 1 species
UAACAUCCUAUUUUUAGUAAAUUAUUUUAUUUUAAUUUAAUUAUAAUUUUGUGUAUGUGUGGGUAAUUAAAUCUAUAUGGGUGAGAGUGAGGGUGUAUGGCCUUAUGGUAGGGUGUGGAGAGUAAUUAGAGGAAGAGAGAAUAAUUAGAAUUAUUUUAUUAAUCAAAAUAAUGAUUUAGUUAUAUUAUUGAAAUAAAAUAAAUAGAAAAAAAAGAAAAUAGAAGUUGUAGAAAGAUGAGGAUUAGAGAGAAAAUUAAGAACAAAGUAGAAAAAUCCUAAUUAAGAGAUUGGAUUUUUAGUAUAAAAAAAG